GACAAACGCUGGCGGCGUGCCUAAUACAUGCAAGUCGAACGACGAAAGCCUUCGGGCAAGUAAGAGUGGCGCACGGGCGAGGAACACGUAGAUAAUCUGCCCUUCAGUGGGGAAUAACUCUCCGAAAGGAGUGCUAAUACCGCAUAAGACCACAAGCUCUGCGGAGCAAGGGGUUAAAGGAUUCAUUCGCUGAAGGAUGAGUCUGCGUCCGAUUAGCUAGUUGGUGAGGUAAUGGCUUACCAAGGCAAUGAUCGGUAGAUGGUCUGAGAGGAUGAUCAUCCGCACUGGAACUGAGACACGGUCCAGACUCCUACGGGAGGCAGCAGUAGGGAAUAUUGCACAAUGGGGGAAACCCUGAUGCAGCAACGCCGCGUGAGUGAUGAAGGCUCUAGGGCCGUAAAGCUCUGUCGUAUGGGAAGAAAAAAAUGACGGUACCAUACAAGAAAGGACCGGCCAACUUCGUGCCAGCCGCCGCCGUAA
rnacentral:rRNA from 1 species